AGCAGCCGCGGUAAUUCCAGCUCCAAUAGCGUAUAUUAAAGUUGUUGCAGUUAAAAAGCUCGUAGUUGAAUUUCGGGAUCAAUUGAUUGGUCAUGCCUACGGUAUGUACUAGUCAUAUUGGUUCUCACCUUCUAAUGAACCUUAAUGUCAUUCACUUGAUGUUUUGGGGAAUUAGGACUGUUACCUUGAAAAAUUAGAGUGUUUAAAGCAGGCUUACGCUUGAAUACAUUAGCAUGGAAUAAUGAAAUAGGACAUCGCAUUCUAUUUUGUUGGUUUCUAGGAUCGAUGUAAUGAUUAAUAGGGAUAGUUGGGGGCAUUAGUAUUCAAUUGUCAGAGGUGAAAUUCUUGGAUUUAUUGAAGACUAACUACUGCGAAAGCAUUUGCCAAGGAUGUUUUCAUUAAUCAAGAACGAAAGUUAGGGGAUCGAAGACGAUCAGAUACCGUCGUAGUCUUAACCAUAAACUAUGCCGACUAGGGAUCGGAUGAUGUUAAUUUUAAAUGACUCAUUC
rnacentral:sRNA from 1 species